rnacentral:rRNA from 1 species
UGAAUGAAAGCUUGCUUUCAUUCGGUUAGCGGCGGACGGGUGAGUAACACGUGGGCAACCUGCCCGUAAGACCGGGAUAACUUCGGGAAACCGGAGCUAAUACCGGAUAACACCGAAGAUCGCAUGAUCUUUGGUUGAAAGGCGGCUUUGGCUGUCACUUACGGAUGGGCCCGCGGCGCAUUAGCUAGUUGGUGAGGUAACGGCUCACCAAGGCGACGAUGCGUAGCCGACCUGAGAGGGUGAUCGGCCACACUGGGACUGAGACACGGCCCAGACUCCUACGGGAGGCAGCAGUAGGGAAUCUUCCGCAAUGGACGAAAGUCUGACGGAGCAACGCCGCGUGAGCGAAGAAGGUCUUCGGAUUGUAAAGCUCUGUUGUUAGGGAAGAACAAGUACCGUUCGAAGAGGGCGGUACCGUGACGGUACCUAACGAGAAAGCCACGGCUAACUACGUGCCAGCAGCCACGGUAAUACGUAGGUGGCAAGCGUUGUCCGGAAUUAUUGGGCGUAAAGCGCGCGCAGGCGGUUCCUUAAGUCUGAUGUGAAAGCCCACGGCUCAACCGUGGAGGGUCAUUGGAAACUGGGGGACUUGAGUGCAGAAGAGGAGAGCGGAAUUCC